GACGAACGCUGGCGGCGCGCUUAACACAUGCAAGUCGAGCGAUGAAAUCUUAACAGAACCCUUCGGGGCGAAGAUAAGAUGGAUGAGCGGCGGACGGGUGAGUAACACGUGAGUAACCUGCCUUUUACACAGGGAUAGCCUCGGGAAACCGGGAUUAAAACCUGAUGAAACUAUCAAAUCACAUGAUUAAGAAAGUUAAAACUCCGGUGGUAAAAGAUGGACUCGCGUCCCAUUAGCUAGUUGGUGAAGGUAACGGCCCACCAAGGCAACGAUGGGUAGCCGGCCUGAGAGGGUGAACGGCCACAUUGGAACUGAGAAACGGUCCAAACUCCUACGGGAGGCAGCAGUGGGGAAUAUUGCACAAUGGGGGAAACCCUGAUGCAGCGACGCCGCGUGAGCGAAGAAGGCCUUCGGGUCGUAAAGCUCUUUUAUAUGGGAAGAUAAUGACGGUACCAUAAGAAAAAGCCCCGGCUAACUACGUGCCAGCAGCCGCGGUAAUACGUAGGGGGCUAGCGUUGUCCGGAAUCACUGGGCGUAAAGGGUUCGCAGGCGGCAAUGCAAGUCAGAUGUAAAAGGCAAAGGCUCAACCUUUGUAAGCAUCUGAAACUGUAUAGCUUGAGAAGUGUAGAGGCAAGUGGAAUUUUUAGUGUAGCGGUGAAAUGCGUAGAUAUUAAAAAGAAUACCGGUGGCGAAGGCGACUUGCUGGGCACAAUCUGACGCUGAGGAACGAAAGCGUGGGGAGCAACCAGG
rnacentral:rRNA from 1 species